rnacentral:rRNA from 1 species
AAAGUGGAGCAAUCCAUGAGUAAAGUGGCGCACGGGUGAGUAACACGUGACUAACCUACCCCUUGAGUGGGGAAUAACCUCGGGAAACCGGGGCUAAUACCGCAUAACACCUUCGGGUCAAAGGAGCAAUUCGCUUAAGGAGGGGGUCGCGGCUGAUUAGCUAGUUGGUGGGGUAACGGCCUACCAAGGCAAUGAUCAGUAUCCGGCCUGAGAGGGCGCACGGACACACUGGAACUGAAACACGGUCCAGACUCCUACGGGAGGCAGCAGUGGGGAAUUUUGCACAAUGGGGGAAACCCUGAUGCAGCAACGCCGCGUGGAGGAUGAAGUCCCUUGGGAUGUAAACUCCUUUCGACCGGGACGAUAAUGACGGUACCGGUGGAAGAAGCCCCGGCUAACUCUGUGCCAGCAGCCGCGGUAAUACAGAGGGGGCAAGCGUUGUUCGGAAUUAUUGGGCGUAAAGGGUGCGUAGGCGGUGCGGUAAGUCUUCUGUGAAAUCUCCGGGCUCAACUCGGAGCCUGCAGGAGAAACUGCCGUGCUUGAGUAUGGGAGAGGUGAGUGGAAUUCCUGGUGUAGCGGUGAAAUGCGUAGAUAUCAGGAGGAACACCUGUGGCGAAAGCGGCUCACUGGACCAUAACUGACGCUGAGGCACGAAAGCUAGGGGAGCAAACAGGAUUAGAUACCCUGGUAGUCCUAGCCCUAAACGAUGAUUGCUUGGUGUAGCAGGUACCCAAUCCUGCUGUGCCGCAGCUAACGCGUUAAGCAAUCCGCCUGGGGAGUACGGUCGCAAGGCUGAAACUC